rnacentral:rRNA from 1 species
AACGAACGCUGGCGGCAUGCUUAACACAUGCAAGUCGAGCGCCCCGCACGGGGCGCGGCGGGCGGGUGUGUAACGCGUGGGGACAUACCCUCAUCUGUGCGAUAGCCCCGGGAAACUGGAAUUAUUACCGAAUGUGCCCUUUGGGGGAAAGAUUUAUCGGAUAAGGAUCGGGGCGCGUGGGAUUUGCUAGUUGGUAGGGUAAAGGCCUACCAAGGCGACGAUCCAUAGCUGGGCUGAGAGGAUGAUCAGCCACACUGGGACUGAGACACGGCCCAAACUCCUACGGGAGGCAGCAGUGGGGAAUAUUGGACAAUGGGCGCAAGCCUGAUCCAGCCAUGCCGCGUGAGUGAUGAAGGCCUUAGGGUUGUAAAGCUCUUUCACCCGAGAAGAUAAUGACGGUAUCGGGAGAAGAAGCCCCGGCUAACUUCGUG